UGGGGAAUAUUGGACAAUGGGCGGAAGCCUGAUCCAGCAACGCCGCGUGAGGGAUGACGGCCUUCGGGUUGUAACCUCUUCACCUCGGACGAAGCGCAAGUGACGGUACGAGGGGAAGAAGCACCGGCCAACUACGUGCCAGCAGCCGCGGUAAUACGUAGGGUGCGAGCGUUGUCCGGAAUUAUUGGGCGUAAAGGGCUCGUAGGCGGUUUGUCGCGUCGGGAGUGAAAACCUCGGGCUUAACUCGGGGCUUGCUUUCGAUACGGGCAGACUGGAGGUAUGCAGGGGAGAACGGAAUUCCUGGUGUAGCGGUGAAAUGCGCAGAUAUCAGGAGGAACACCGGUGGCGAAGGCGGUUCUCUGGGCAUUACCUGACGCUGAGGAGCGAAAGUGUGGGGAGCGAACAGGAUUAGAUACC
rnacentral:rRNA from 1 species